UACGGAGGGUGCAAGCGUUAAUCGGAAUUACUGGGCGUAAAGCGUGCGCAGGCGGUUUGUUAAGUCCGUUGUGAAAGCCCCGAGCUCAACUUGGGAAUUGCAGUGGAUACUGGCAGGCUGGAGUACGGUAGAGGAAGGUGGAAUUCCCGGUGUAGCAGUGAAAUGCGUAGAUAUCGGGAGGAACACCAGUGGCGAAGGCGGCUCACUGGCCCGAUACUGACGCUGAGGCACGAAAGCGUGGGGAGCAAACAGG
rnacentral:rRNA from 1 species